UACGUAGGGUGCGAGCGUUAAUCGGAAUUACUGGGCGUAAAGCGUGAGCAGGCGGUUUUGUAAGCCCGAUGUGAAAUCCCCGGGCUUAACCUGGGAAUGGCAUUUGGGACUGCAAGGCUGGAGUGUGGCAGAGGAGACUGGAAUUCCUGGUGUAGCAGUGAAAUGCGUAGAUAUCAGGAGGAAUACCGAUGGCGAAGGCAGGUCUCUGGGCUGACACUGACGCUCAUGCACGAAAGCGUGGGGAGCAAACAGG
rnacentral:rRNA from 1 species